rnacentral:rRNA from 1 species
AGUGAACGCUGGCGGUAGGCCUAACACAUGCAAGUCGAACGGCAGCACAGUAAGAGCUUGCUCUUACGGGUGGCGAGUGGCGGACGGGUGAGGAAUACAUCGGAAUCUACUUUUUCGUGGGGGAUAACGUAGGGAAACUUACGCUAAUACCGCAUACGACCUACGGGUGAAAGCAGGGGAUCUUCGGACCUUGCGCGAUUGAAUGAGCCGAUGUCGGAUUAGCUAGUUGGCGGGGUAAAGGCCCACCAAGGCGACGAUCCGUAGCUGGUCUGAGAGGAUGAACCGCACCCCGGGAAAUGAGACACGGCCCAGACCCCUAGGGGAGGCAGAGGUGGGGAAUAUUGGAAAAGGGGCGCAAGCCUGAUCCAGCCAUACCGGGUGGGGGAAGAAGGCCUUCGGGUUGUAAAGCCCUUUUGUUGGGAAAAAAAAGCAGCAGGUUAAUACCCCGCUGUUCUGGCGGUACCCAAAGAAAAAGCACCGGCUAACUUCGU